rnacentral:rRNA from 1 species
UGAAGUCGGAAUUGCUAGUAAUGGCAGGUCAGCAUACUGCCGUGAAUACGUUCCCGGGCCCUUGUACACACCGCCCGUCACACCAUGAGAGUUGGAAAUACCCGAAGCCUGUGAGCUAACUUAAAGAGGCAGCAGUCGAAGGUAGAGCCAAUGAUUGGGGUGAAGUCGUAACAAGGUAUC